GGCCUCGUAGCUCAGCUGGUAGAGCAUGCGCGUACAAAGCGUAGGCGGCGUCCAUGCGUGGGUUCGAAUCCCACCGAGACUA
rnacentral:tRNA from 1 species